rnacentral:rRNA from 1 species
UACCAGCACCCCGAGUGGUCGGGACGAUUAUUGGGCCUAAAGCAUCCGUAGCCGGUUCUACAAGUCUUCCGUUAAAUCCACCUGCUUAACAGAUGGGCUGCGGAGGAUACUAUAGAGCUAGGAGGCGGGAGAGACAAGCGGUACUUAGUGGGUAGGGGUAAAAUCCGUUGAUCCAUUGAAGACCACCAGUGGCGAAGGCGGCUUGCCAGAACGCACUCGACGGUGAGGGAUGAAAGCUGGGGGAGCAAACCGG